rnacentral:lncRNA from 12 species
CAGAACAACCUGACCCCCCCCCCACCUCCCCUCUCCCUCAGUUUUGGCCACUGAAGGAAUGUCGGAGUUUGCCGUGGUGGAGCACUUAGCAGCUUGAGGUCUGGGAGAGAAAACGUCGUCUCGUGUACUGGGGUGACCGAUACUCUUAAGGCUUCCACAAUGGCACUUCACUGGUCCAUCCACGGGAACCUCUGGCAGCACUCCAAGAAGCACCAUUACAGACUUUGCAGAUUUGGAGGUGGCAAACUUUCACUUGGCGAUGUCCAGAGGCUGGUGUGCCUCGGAGCUCCACACGGGGUACAACUGGCAGAAAGGCACUGAUUCAGACCUUACGUGGCUCCCCUUCAGACCCAGCUAGAGUCUCCCACGACCCGCCCUGAUCCACAUGGUGUCAGGCCAGCCAGACCUGCGUGCCCACCGACGGUUCCAGAAAGCCCCAGAAGCAAGCCCCAGCAGGUCAGUCCCGCUUCUCCAU